GACGAACGCUGGCGGCGUGCUUAACACAUGCAAGUCGAACGGAAAGGCCCUGCUUUUGUGGGGUGCUCGAGUGGCGAACGGGUGAGUAACACGUGAGUAACCUGCCCUUGACUUUGGGAUAACUUCAGGAAACUGGGGCUAAUACCGGAUAGGAGCUCCUGCUGCAUGGUGGGGGUUGGAAAGUUUCGGCGGUUGGGGAUGGACUCGCGGCUUAUCAGCUUGUUGGUGGGGUAGUGGCUUACCAAGGCUUUGACGGGUAGCCGGCCUGAGAGGGUGACCGGCCACAUUGGGACUGAGAUACGGCCCAGACUCCUACGGGAGGCAGCAGUGGGGAAUAUUGCACAAUGGGCGGAAGCCUGAUGCAGCAACGCCGCGUGCGGGAUGACGGCCUUCGGGCUGUAAACCGCUUUCGCCUGUGACGAAGCGUGAGUGAUGGUAAUGGGUAAAGAAGCACCGGCUAACUACGUG
rnacentral:rRNA from 1 species